AACGAACGCUGGCGGCAUGCCUAACACAUGCAAGUCGAACGAAGGCUUCGGCCUUAGUGGCGCACGGGUGCGUAACGCGUGGGAAUCUGCCCUUGGCUUCGGAAUAACAGUUAGAAAUGACUGCUAAUACCGGAUGAUGUCGCAAGACCAAAGAUUUAUCGGCCAGGGAUGAGCCCGCGUAGGAUCAGGUAGUUGGUGGGGUAAAGGCCUACCAAGCCGACGAUCCUUAGCUGGUCUGAGAGGAUGAUCAGCCACACUGGGACUGAGACACGGCCCAGACUCCUACGGGAGGCAGCAGUGGGGAAUAUUGGACAAUGGGGGCAACCCUGAUCCAGCAAUGCCGCGUGAGUGAUGAAGGCCUUAGGGUUGUAAAGCUCUUUUACCCGGGAUGAUAAUGACAGUACCGGGAGAAUAAGCUCCGGCUAACUCCGUGCCAGCAGCCGCCGUAA
rnacentral:rRNA from 1 species